AUUGAACGCUGGCGGUAUGCUUAACACAUGCAAGUCGAACGGUAACAGCAGAGCUUGCUCUGGCUGACGAGUGGCGGACGGGUGAGUAACGCGUGGGAAUCUACCUAAUAGUGGGGGAUAGCCAGAAGAAAUUCUGAUUAAUACCGCAUAAUCUCUUCGGAGUAAAGAUGGCCUCUUCUUGAAAGCUGUCGCUAUUAGAUGAGCCCGCGUUAGAUUAGCUAGAUGGUGAGGUAAGAGCUCACCAUGGCGACGAUCUAUAGCUGGUCUGAGAGGAUGAUCAGCCACAUUGGGACUGAGACACGGCCCAGACUCCUACGGGAGGCAGCAGUGGGGAAUAUUGGACAAUGGGCGCAAGCCUGAUCCAGCAAUACCGCGUGUGUGAAGAAGGCCUUAGGGUUGUAAAGCACUUUUAUGAGUGAAGAAAGGGCGAUGUUUAAUAGAUGUUGUCUGUGACGGUAACUCACGAAUAAGCACCGGCUAACUCCG
rnacentral:rRNA from 1 species